rnacentral:rRNA from 1 species
UACGUAGGGGGCAAGCGUUGUCCGGAUUUACUGGGCGUAAAGAGCGUGUAGGCGGCCCAACAGGUCCGUUGUGAAAACUGGAGGCUCAACCUCCAGACGUCGACGGAAACCGUAUGGCUAGAGUCCGGAAGAGGAGAGUGGAAUUCCUGGUGUAGCGGUGAAAUGCGCAGAUAUCAGGAAGAACACCAAUGGCGAAGGCAGCUCUCUGGGACGGUACUGACGCUGAGACGCGAAAGCGUGGGGAGCGAACAGG